AAUCAAGUGAUGAGAGAAAAAAAUAACUGCAACAAUAUGAUUGGAUACGCUCCAUGAUUCAUUGGUAUUUAAGUCUCUGAUGAUU